GUAGGUGGCAAGCGUUGUCCGGAAUUAUUGGGAGUAAAGCGCGCGCAGGCGGCUCUUUAAGUCUGAUGUGAAAGCCCACGGCUCAACCGUGGAGGGUCAUUGGAAACUGGAGAACUUGAGUACAGAAGAGGAAAGCGGAAUUCCACGUGUAGCGGUGAAAUGCGUAGAGAUGUGGAGGAACACCAGUGGCGAAGGCGGCUUUCUGGUCUGUAACUGACGCUGAGGCGCGAAAGCGUGGGGAGCAAACAGGAUUAGAUACCCUGGUAGUCCACGCCGUAAACGAUGAGUGCUAAGUGUUAGGGGGUUUUCCGCCCCCCUUAGUGCUGCAGCUAACGCAUUAAGCACUCCGCCUGGGAGUACGGCCGCAAGGCUG
rnacentral:rRNA from 1 species